rnacentral:rRNA from 1 species
ACGCUCGACACCUACGGGGGCAGCAGUUAGGAAUAUUGGGCAAUGGAGGGAACUCUGACCCAGCAACGCCGCGUGAAGGAAGAAGGUUUUCGGACUGUAAACUUCUGAUCUAAGGGAAAAAGAAAGUGAUGGUACCUUAGGAGAAAGCCACGGCUAACUACGUGCAAGCAGCCGCGGUAAUCUGAGCGGGCUGGCAAGGC